UGGGGAAUAUUGGACAAUGGGCGCAAGCCUGAUCCAGCCAUGCCGCGUGAGUGAUGAAGGCCCUAGGGUUGUAAAGCUCUUUUGUCCGGGACGAUAAUGACGGUACCGGAAGAAUAAGCCCCGGCUAACUUCGUGCCAGCAGCCGCGGUAAUACGAAGGGGGCUAGCGUUGCUCGGAAUCACUGGGCGUAAAGGGCGCGUAGGCGGACGUUUAAGUCAGGGGUGAAAUCCCGGGGCUCAACCUCGGAAUUGCCUUUGAUACUGGAUGUCUCGAGACCGGAAGAGGUAAGUGGAACUGCGAGUGUAGAGGUGAAAUUCGUAGAUAUUCGCAAGAACACCAGUGGCGAAGGCGGCUUACUGGUCCGGUUCUGACGCUGAGGCGCGAAAGCGUGGGGAGCAAACAGG
rnacentral:rRNA from 3 species